GGCCGUAUUUAUUAGAUAUCAGCCAAUAAGCAUCUGCUAUUGUGGUGNCUCAUAGUAACUUAAUCGGAUCGCAUGGGCUUGUCCCGCGACAAACCAUUCAAGUUUCUGCCCCAUCAUGCUUUCGAUGGUAGUGUAUUGGACUACCAUGGCUUUCACGGGUAACGGAGGAUUAGGGUUCGAUUCCGGAGAGGGAGCCUGAGAAACGGCUACCACUUCCACGGAAGGCAGCAGGCGCGUAAAUUACCCAAUCCUGAUUCANGGAGGUAGUG
rnacentral:rRNA from 1 species